UACAGAGGUCCCAAGCGUUGUUCGGAUUCACUGGGCGUAAAGGGUGCGUAGGCGGCUCAGUAAGUCGGGUGUGAAACCUCCAGGCUCAACCUGGAGACGCCACCCGAUACUGCUGUGGCUAGAGUCCAGUAGGGGAGUGUGGAAUUCCCGGUGUAGCGGUGAAAUGCGCAGAUAUCGGGAGGAACACCAGCGGCGAAGGCGGCACUCUGGGCUGGUACUGACGCUGAGGAGCGAAAGCGUGGGUAGCAAACAGG
rnacentral:rRNA from 1 species